rnacentral:rRNA from 1 species
GACGAACGCUGGCGGCGUGCCUAACACAUGCAAGUCGAGCGGGGUGAGUUCUUCGGAACGAUCCUAGCGGCGGACGGGUGAGUAACACGUGGGUAACCUGCCUCAAAGUGGGGGAUAGCCUUUCGAAAGGAAGAUUAAUACCGCAUAACCCAUAGCUUCCGCAAGGAAGCAAUGGUAAAGAUUUAUCGCUUUGAGAUGGACCCGCGGCGCAUUAGCUAGUUGGUGAGGUAACGGCUCACCAAGGCCACGAUGCGUAGCCGACCUGAGAGGGUGAGCGGCCACAUUGGAACUGAGACACGGUCCAGACUCCUACGGGAGGCAGCAGUGGGGAAUAUUGCACAAUGGGCGCAAGCCUGAUGCAGCAACGCCGCGUGAGUGAUGAAGGUCUUCGGAUUGUAAUGCUCUGUCUUUGGGGACGAUAAUGACGGUACCCAAGGAGGAAGCCACGGCUAACUACGUGCCAGCCGCCGCCGUAAGAC